rnacentral:rRNA from 1 species
AGUGAACGCUGGCGGUAGGCCUAACACAUGCAAGUCGAACGGCAGCACAGUAAGAGCUUGCUCUUACGGGUGGCGAGUGGCGGACGGGUGAGGAAUACAUCGGAAUCUACUUUUUCGUGGGGGAUAACGUAGGGAAACUUACGCUAAUACCGCAUACGACCUACGGGUGAAAGCAGGGGAUCUUCGGACCUUGCGCGAUUGAAUGAGCCGAUGUCGGAUUAGCUAGUUGGCGGGGUAAAGGCCCACCAAGGCGACGAUCCGUAGCUGGUCUGAGAGGAUGACCCGCCACACUGAACCUGAGACAGGGCCCAGACCCUUAGGGGGGGAGGCGGUGGGGAAUAUUGACGAAGGGGGCCAAGCCUGAUCCAGCAAUACCGGGGGGAGAAAGAAGCCUUCGGGGUUCUAAACCCUUUUUUUUGAGAAAGAAAACAAGCAGUUUAAUCCCCCGUUGUUCGGAGGGUACCAAAAGAAAAAGCCCGGGCAAACUCGGUG